UCUGAUCAUACAAACGCAACUCAGAUCUCGUAACGUUCGGCCUUGGUACGCUGCCUCUCCCGUUAGCGUCAAUCUGGCUAUCCAUAACGCGAAAUCCAAUAGUUGCUACAGUGUAAUUAUAAUCCAGGGGUUCAAAGGGUUCUGAAGUGCUAAACAGAGCCAUAGUAUGGGCCACUUUCGACCGGAAGGACUGCCCGAAUUGUCACAAUGGGUCGCAUGCCGACCAGCGUCAAUCUAAGAACGGUGAUAACGUCCAUGCCUGCAGCGGGUGUUUGCUUACUGGAGGUACUGGUCGAAAAUGAAAAUCGGUCGAUAUUAUCAAAGAUCUCGAACUCAUGAAUAGUCUCAAGGAAGUGCGGUGAGGCGAUUAACAACGAACCAUCUGAUUAUUCGGAGAUAGCGUACGACCUCAUCACCACGCUUUGAUCACAACCUGUGUCGAGGACGACAGAUGAAGCGUCGAGCCAGACGAUCGUGACAGGUCAGUUCGAAAAAGCAUCGAACAUCGAACAAGCGCUAACCGAACAGCUCGGAGUAACGUAUCUAUGGCGCAUAAAACAGUAUAGGGUAACGACAAGUUGUCUUUCGAGGCGACUGUAAUUACGUAAGGCAGACUGGGCGGCUAUUGUUGUUGGUGUCCGUACAGACCACGUUAUUGAAGGCGACCUAGAAAGCGGAAAAAGGUUGCGCCUGGCAUUGUCGGACCAAAAAAGGACCCUGAUCGUCUUUUCUUUCGAUCGUAUUUGUCCUACUGCUUAUUGCAUCCAGUUCACAGGUAGAAUCCUAGAGCCGCGAAUCAUUCGUCAGCCGACAAGCAAUGCACCAUCGAAUGAAAGUG